UACGUAGGGGGCUAGCGUUGUCCGGAUUUAUUGGGCGUAAAGAGCGCGUAGGCGGCCAAGUAAGUCCGACGUGAAAUCUGGAGGCUCAACCUCCAGCGGUCGUUGGAAACUACUUGGCUAGAGUCCGGAAGAGGAGAGUGGAAUUCCUGGUGUAGCGGUGAAAUGCGCAGAUAUCAGGAAGAACACCGAUGGCGAAAGCAGCUCUCUGGGACGGUACUGACGCUGAGGCGCGAAAGCGUGGGGAGCGAACAGG
rnacentral:rRNA from 1 species